rnacentral:rRNA from 1 species
UUGGAGGAAUGUAUAGCGAAAGCUAGUUGCAUUUAACUUAGCGAAAGCUAAGUUGAUGCAGGAUUGACUAUGUCAAAUAAAGUUCUAGGUGGGUUAUGAUGAUGACAUUUCCUAUCUAUGUGUCUUGACCAAAUUACGUGCCAGCAGUCGCGGUAACACGUAAAAGACUAGUGUUAUUCAUCUUUAAUAGGUUUAAAGGGUACCUAGACGGUAAAUCAAGUCCAAGAAGGGUACUAAUUUUACUAGAGUUUAAUAUGAGGGGGCACUAAAGUACUGAUAAGUGUAGAGAUGAAAUUCUGUGAUACAAUAUACGGCACUGGUAAAGGCGAAAGCAUCUCAUUAUGUAAUAACUGACGUUGAGGGACGAAGGCUAGGUGUAGCAAAAAGGAUUAGAUACCCAAGUAGUCUUAGCAGAAAAUUAUGAAUGUCAUAGGAUGGAAAGUUGGAUGGACAAACAACAAAUUUUUUUUCUAUAAAUGAAAGUGUAAGCAUUCCACCUCGAGAGUAAUUUGGCAACAUUGGAACUGAAAUCAUUAGACCGUUUCUGAAACAAGUAGUGAAGUAUGUUGUUUAAUUUGAUGGUCCGCAAAAAACCUUACCACAAUUUGAAUAGAAAAAUUUUUUUUUCAUACAAGCGCUGCACGGUUGUCUUCAGUUAAUGUCGUGAGAUCUUGGUUAGUUCCAUUAAAUUAACGUAAACCCUUACUCUAUUUUUAUAUAGAGUAGUUCACCGCUAGAUUGGAUGUGAUAACAGGGACUAAGACAAGUCAUCAUGGCCUUAAUAUUGUGGG